GACGAACGCUGGCGGCGUGCUUAACACAUGCAAGUCGAACGGAAAGGCCCUGCUUUUGUGGGGUGCUCGAGUGGCGCACGGGUGAGUAACACGUGAGUAACCUGCCCUUGACUUUGGGAUAACUUCGGGAAACUGGGGCUAAUACCGGAUAGGAGCUCCUGCUGCAUGGUGGGGGUUGGAAAGUUUCGGCGGUUGGGGAUAGACUCGCGGCUUAUCAGCUUGUUGGUGGGGUAGUGGCUUACCAAGGCUUUGACGGGUAGCCGGCCUGAGAGGGUGACCGGCCACAUGAGGACUGAGAGACGGCGCAGACGCCUACGGGAGGCAGCGGGGGAGAGUAUUACACAAUGGGCGGAAGCCUGAUGCAGCAACGCCGCGUGCGGGAUGACGUCCUUCGGGUUGUAAACCGCUUUCGCCUGUGACGAAGAGUGAGUGACGGUAAUGGGUAAAGAAGCACCGGCUAACUACGUG
rnacentral:rRNA from 1 species